UACGUAGGGGGCUAGCGUUGUCCGGAAUCAUUGGGCGUAAAGCGCGCGUAGGCGGCCCGGUAAGUCCGUUGUGAAAGUCAGGGGCUCAACCCUUGAAUGCCGGCGGAUACUGUCGGGCUAGAGUCCGGAAGAGGCGAGUGGAAUUCCCGGUGUAGCGGUGAAAUGCGCAGAUAUCGGGAGGAACACCUAUGGCGAAGGCAGCUCGCUGGGACGGUACUGACGCUGAGACGCGAAAGCGUGGGGAGCAAACAGG
rnacentral:rRNA from 1 species